ACCAUCCACAUGCAGAAUUUGGGAUGAGUGAGAGAUCGCAGGGUGCAAGUCUCAGUACAGGAAAUGUUACUUCAACCUGCUCUCCUUUUCCCAGAGCACUUGUAGAGGGAAGCUGGCUUUCUUCUAGGGACAGAAUUAUUGACAAUCUAAGAAGUGAACUUAAAUGCAUCCGUCAAGUUUAAAGGCUGAGGACUGCCACACAGAGAUGCUGCAGUGAAUGUGCACCGCGAAGUAAGAUCACGUGUCAAGGAAAGCACUAAGGUAACACCCAGCAUGACGCGCGUGCACCACGGAGUAACUCGGAUCACGUGUCAAGGAAAGCACUAAGGUAACACCCAGCAUGACGCGCGUGCACCACGGAGUAACUCAGAUCACGUGCCAAGGAAAGCACUAAGGUAACACCCAGCAUAAUGUGAGUGCACCGCGGAGUAAGAUUACACGUCGAGGAAAGCACUAAGGUAACAGCCAGCAUGACGCACAUGCACCACGGAGUAACUCAGAUCACGUGCCAAGGAAAGCACUAAGGUAACACCCAGCAUAAUGUGAGUGCACCACGGAGUCACUCGGAUCACGUGUCAAGGAAAGCACUAAGGUAACACCCAGCAUGACGCGCGUGCACUGCGGAGUCACUCGGAUCACGUGUCAAGGAAAGCACUAAGGUAACACCCAGCAUGAUGUGUGUGCACCAUGGAGUCACUCGCAUCAUGUGUCAAGGAAAGCACUAAGGUAACACCCAGCAUGACGCGCGUGCACCACGGAGUCACUCGGAUCACGUGUCAAGGAAAGCACUA
rnacentral:lncRNA from 1 species